rnacentral:rRNA from 1 species
GACGAACGCUGGCGGCGUGCUUAACACAUGCAAGUCGAACGGAAAGGCCCUGCUUUUGUGGGGUGCUCGAGUGGCGAACGGGUGAGUAACACGUGAGUAACCUGCCCUUGACUUUGGGAUAACUUCAGGAAACUGGGGCUAAUACCGGAUAGGAGCUCCUGCUGCAUGGUGGGGGUUGGAAAGUUUCGGCGGUUGGGGAUGGACUCGCGGCUUAUCAGCUUGUUGGUGGGGUAGUGGCUUACCAAGGCUUUGACGGGUAGCCGGCCUGAGAGGGUGACCGGCCACAUUGGGACUGAGAUACGGCCCAGACUCCUACGGGAGGCAGCAGUGGGGAAUAUUGCACAAUGGGCGGAAGCCUGAUGCAGCAACGCCGCGUGCGGGAUGACGGCCUUCGGGUUGUAAACCGCUUUCGCCUGUGACGAAGCGUGAGUGACGGUAAUGGGUAAAGAAGCACCGGCUAACUACGUGCCAGCAGCCGCGGUGAUACGUAGGGUGCGAGCGUUGUCCGGAUUUAUUGGGCGUAAAGGGCUCGUAGGUGGUUGAUCGCGUCGGAAGUGUAAUCUCGGGGCUUAACCCUGAGCGUGCUUUCGAUACGGGUUGACUUGAGGAAGGUAGGGGAGAAUGGAAUUCCUGGUGGAGCGGUGGAAUGCGCAGAUAUCAGGAGGAACACCAGUGGCGAAGGCGGUUCUCUGGGCCUUUCCUGACGCUGAGGAGCGAAAGCGUGGGGAGCGAACAGGCUUAGAUACCCUGGUAGUCCACGCUGUAAACGGUGGGUACUAGGUGUGGGGUCCAUUCCACGGGUUCCGUGCCGUAGCUAACGCUUUAAGUACCCCGCCUGGGGAGUACGGCCGCAAGGCUAAAACUCAAAGGAAUUGACGGGGCCCCGCACAAGCGGCGGAGCAUGCGGAUUAAUUCGAUGCAACGCGUAGAACCUUACCUGGGUUUGACAUGGAUCGGGAGUGCUCAGAGAUGGGUGUGCCUCUUUUGGGGUCGGUUCACAGGUGGUGCAUGGCUGUCGUCAGCUCGUGUCGUGAGAUGUUGGGUUAAGUCCCGCAACGAGCGCAACCCUUGUUCACUGUUGCCAGCACGUUAUGGUGGGGACUCAGUGGAGACCGCCGGGGUCAACUCGGAGGAAGGUGGGGAUGACGUCAAGUCAUCAUGCCCCUUAUGUCCAGGGCUUCACGCAUGCUACAAUGGCUGGUACAGAGAGUGGCGAGCCUGUGAGGGUGAGCGAAUCUCGGAAAGCCGGUCUCAGUUCGGAUUGGGGUCUGCAACUCGACCUCAUGAAGUCGGAGUCGCUAGUAAUCGCAGAUCAGCAACGCUGCGGUGAAUACGUUCCCGGGGC